rnacentral:rRNA from 1 species
AAGGCGAAACCGCGAAUGGCUCAUUAAAUCAGCUAUGAUUCAUUGGAUCUGUACCCACACUUACUUGGAUAACUGUGGUAAUUCUAGAGCUAAUACAUGCACCACGUCUCUGACCGCAAGGGAAGAGCGCUUUUAUUAGUUCAAAACCGGUCGGGCCUCGGUCCGUCACCCCACCGUGUUGAAUCUGAAUAACUUGUCGCUGAGCGCACGGUCUCCGCACCGGCGCCGCCUCUUUCAAGUGUCUGCCUUAUCAGCUUUCGAUUGUAGGUUAUACGCCUACAAUGGCUAUAACGGGUAACGGGGAAUCAGGGUUCGAUUCCGGAGAGGGAGCCUGAGAAACGGCUACCACAUCUAAGGAAGGCAGCAGGCACGCAAAUUACCCACUCCCGGCACGGGGAGGUAGUGACGAAAAAUAACGAUGCGAGACUCAUCCGAGGCCUCGCAAUCGGAAUGAGUACACUUUAAAUCCUUUAACGAGGAUCUAUUGGAGGGCAAGUCUGGUGCCAGCAGCCGCGGUAAUUCCAGCUCCAAUAGCGUAUAUUAAAGUUGUUGCGGUUAAAAAGCUCGUAGUUGGAUUUCAGUUCUGGACUGACGGUUCACCGCCCGGUGCACACUGUCACGCUCCGAACAGCCACAACAGCCCGCUGGCUCGCACGGGGUGCUCUUCAUCGAGUGUCCCGCGUGGCCGGCAGAGUUUACUUUGAAAAAAAUUAGAGUGCUCAAAGCAGGCUACACUUACGGCCUGAAUGCCUAUGCAUGGAAAUAAUGGAAUAGGACCUCGGUUCUAUUUUUGUCGGUUUCUGAGCCGAGGUAAUGACUAAUAGGA